AUUGAACGCUGGCGGCAUGCCUUACACAUGCAAGUCGAACGGCAGCACGGGUGCUUGCACCUGGUGGCGAGUGGCGAACGGGUGAGUAAUACAUCGGAACGUACCUUAUCGUGGGGGAUAACGCAGCGAAAGUUGCGCUAAUACCGCAUACGCCCUGAGGGGGAAAGCGGGGGACCGUAAGGCCUCGCGCGAUUAGAGCGGCCGAUGUCUGAUUAGCUUGUUGGUGAGGUAAAAGCUCACCAAGGCGAUGAUCAGUAGCUGGUCUGAGAGGACGAUCAGCCACACUGGGACUGAGACACGGCCCAGACUCCUACGGGAGGCAGCAGUGGGGAAUUUUGGACAAUGGGGGCAACCCUGAUCCAGCAAUGCCGCGUGAGUGAAGAAGGCCUUCGGGUUGUAAAGCUCUUUUGUCAGGGAAGAAACAGCCUCUAACACAGUCUGCGAAUGACGGUACCUGAAGAAUAAGCACCGGCUAACUACGUGCCAGCAGCCGCCGUAA
rnacentral:rRNA from 1 species